AGUGAACGCUGGCGGUAGGCCUAACACAUGCAAGUCGAACGGCAGCACAGUAAGAGCUUGGCUCUUAUGGGUGGCGAGUGGCGGACGGGUGAGGAAUACAUCGGAAUCUACUUUUUCGUGGGGGAUAACGUAGGGAAACUUACGCUAAUACCGCAUACGACCUACUGGUGAAAGCAGGGGAUCUUCGGACCUUGCGCGAU
rnacentral:rRNA from 1 species